rnacentral:rRNA from 1 species
UGGGGAAUAUUGGACAAUGGGGGCAACCCUGAUCCAGCAAUGCCGCGUGUGUGAAGAAGGUCUUCGGAUUGUAAAGCACUUUCGACGGGGACGAUGAUGACGGUACCCGUAGAAGAAGCCCCGGCUAACUUCGUGCCAGCAGCCGCGGUAAUACGAAGGGGGCUAGCGUUGCUCGGAAUGACUGGGCGUAAAGGGCGUGUAGGCGGUUUACACAGUCAGAUGUGAAAUCCCCGGGCUUAACCUGGGAGCUGCAUUUGAUACGUGUAGACUAGAGUGUGAGAGAGGGUUGUGGAAUUCCCAGUGUAGAGGUGAAAUUCGUAGAUAUUGGGAAGAACACCGGUGGCGAAGGCGGCAACCUGGCUCAUGACUGACGCUGAGGCGCGAAAGCGUGGGGAGCAAACAGG